rnacentral:rRNA from 1 species
UACGUAGGGGGCAAGCGUUGUCCGGAUUUAUUGGGCGUAAAGAGCGUGUAGGCGGCCUGGCAAGUCCGCUGUGAAAACUCGAGGCUCAACCUCGAGACGUCGGUGGAAACUGCCUGGCUAGAGUCCGGAAGAGGAGAGUGGGAAUUCCUGGUGUAGCGGUGAAAUGCGCAGAUAUCAGGAAGAACACCCGUGGCUAAGGCGGCUCUCUAGUACGGUACUGACGGCUGAGACGGCGAAAGCCGUGGGGGAGCGAACAGG